GCUGAGGUGGUAUUGGAGAGAUAAAGCAGAGACCUUCCUGCCUGGGGAGAUGUCUGACCCCAAGCUUGUCGGUCCUCAUGAAUAUCUCUCUGGAACUAGGCUCUGUGUUCAGUGCUGUCGUCUCUCAAAAGCCAAGCAGGGAUAUCUGUCAACAUGGAACCUCCCUGACGAUCCAGUGUCAAGUCAAUAGCCAAGUCACCAUGAUGUUCUGGUACCGUCAACAACCUGGACAGAGCCUGACACUGAUUGCAACUGCAAAUCAGGGCUCUGAGGCCACAUAUGAGAGUGGAUUUGUCAUUGACAAGUUUCCCAUCAGCCGCCCAAACCUAUCAUUCUCAACUCUGACUGUGAGCAACAUGAGCCCUGAAGACAGCAGCAUAUACCUCUGCAGCGUUGAAGACACAGUGCGGGGCACAGAUCAAAGAUCUGAGCAAGAACCUCAGCUAUCUCCUACCCACCUCCUCUCACAUGAGCCUGAAGGCGCUGCUAAGGUGGGACAGAAGGAGGAAACCACAGCUCUUGGGCAGACACAGCUGUUUCUGUGCUUGUGGGUGGGCAUGGGUAUGAAUGGAUAGACUGGGGAUGAGGAGAGCAUCUGUAGGACUAGCUGGAGUGUUCUAUCCACAGGCAGGAAGAGUGGCUUCUGGAAAGCUGAGGGUAAAAUUUCUUCUAGAAGUGUGCUCAGAAAUACCCAGUAAAAACAAUCAGAUACAGUUUCCUUCA